rnacentral:rRNA from 1 species
UACGUAGGGUGCGAGCGUUUGUCCGGAAUUAUUGGGCGUAAAGAGCUUGUAGGCGGUUUGUCGCGUCUGCUGUGAAAAUCCGGGCUCACCCGGACUUGCAGUGGGUACGGGCAGACUAGAGUUCGGCAGGGAGGACUGGAGUUCCUGGUGUAGCGGUGAAAUGCGCAGAUAUCAGGAGGAACACCGGUGGCGAAGGCGGGUCUCUGGGCCGAUGACUGACGCUGAGGAGCGAAAGCGUGGGGAGCGAACAGG